rfam:Cephalotus follicularis DNA, scaffold: scaffold789, isolate: St1.
GGGUGCGAUCGUACCAGCACUAAUGCACCGGAUCCCAUCAGAACUCCGCAGUUUAGUGUGCUUGGGCGAGAGUAGUACUGGGAUGCGUGACCUCCUGGGAAGUCCUCGUGUUGCACCCC